rnacentral:rRNA from 1 species
CCUACGGGAGGCAGCAGUGGGGAAUAUUGCACAAUGGGGGGAACCCUGAUGCAGCGACGCCGCGUGGGUGAGGAAGUACUUCGGUAUGUAAAGCCCUAUCAGCAGGGAAGAAAAUGACGGUACCUGACUAAGAAGCCCCGGCUAACUACGUGCCAGCAGCCGCGGUAAUACGUAGGGGGCAAGCGUUAUCCGGAUUUACUGGGUGUAAAGGGAGCGUAGACGGCGUGCCAAGUCUGGUGUGAAAGGCCGGGGCUCAACCCCGGGACUGCAUUGGAAACUGGCAUGCUAGAGUGCAGGAGGGGUAAGUGGAAUUCCUAGUGUAGCGGUGGAAUGCGUAGAUAUUAGGAGGAACAUCAGGGGCGAAGGCGACUUACUGGACUGUAACUGACACUGAGGCACGAAAGCGUGGGGAGCAAACAGGAUUAGAUACCCCAGUAGUC